rnacentral:rRNA from 1 species
GAUGAACGCUGGCGGCGUGCCUAAUACAUGCAAGUCGAGCGAACAGACGAGGAGCUUGCUCCUCUGACGUUAGCGGCGGACGGGUGAGUAACACGUGGAUAACCUACCUAUAAGACUGGGAUAACUUCGGGAAACCGGAGCUAAUACCGGAUAAUAUAUUGAACCGCAUGGUUCAAUAGUGAAAGACGGUUUUGCUGUCACUUAUAGAUGGAUCCGCGCCGCAUUAGCUAGUUGGUAAGGUAACGGCUUACCAAGGCAACGAUGCGUAGCCGACCUGAGAGGGUGAUCGGCCACACUGGAACUGAGACACGGUCCAGACUCCGACGGGAGGCAGCAGUAGGGAAUCUUCCGCAAUGGGCGAAAGCCUGACGGAGCAACGCCGCGUGAGUGAUGAAGGUCUUCGGAUCGUAAAACUCUGUUAUUAGGGAAGAACAAAUGUGUAAGUAACUAUGCACGUAUUGACGGUACCUAAUCAGAAAGCCACGGCUAACUACGUG